rnacentral:tRNA from 1 species
AAAAUCGGGUAGACGCUACGGACUUAAAAUCCGUCGACUUUAGAAAUCGUGAGGGUUCAAGUCCCUCUAUCCCCA